GCUGAGGUGGCAGACUAGUGCAAUAGACUUAAGCUCUAUUCAUAAAUUAAAAUUUCCUCAGUA
rnacentral:tRNA from 1 species